rnacentral:rRNA from 1 species
GUCGAGCAGGUGCGAAAGCAGGACAUAGUGAUCCGGUGGUUCUGAAUGGAAGGGCCAUCGCUCAACGGAUAAAAGGUACUCCGGGGAUAACAGGCUGAUUCCGCCCAAGAGUUCAUAUCGACGGCGGAGUUUGGCACCUCGAUGUCGGCUCAUCACAUCCUGGGGCUGUAGUCGGUCCCAAGGGUAUGGCUGUUCGCCAUUUAAAGUGGUACGUGAGCUGGGUUUAAAACGUCGUGAGACAGUUUGGUCCCUAUCUGCAGUGGGCGUUGGAAGUUUGACGGGGGCUGCUCCUAGUACGAGAGGACCGGAGUGGACGAACCUCUGGUGUACCGGUUGUGACGCCAGUCGCAUCGCCGGGUAGCUAAGUUCGGAAGAGAUAAACGCUGAAAGCAUCUAAGCGUGAAACUCGCCUGAAGAUGAGACUUCCCCAGGGAUUUAAUCCCUCUGAAGAGACGUUCGAGACCAGGACGUUGAUAGGUCGGGUGUGGAAGAGUGGUAACACUUGGAGCUAACCGAUACUAAUUGCUCGUGAGGCUUGACUCUAU